UGAAGUAAAGAAAUGUGAAUAGUGAGUUUUGAAAGGGGUUGAAGGUUACUUACUUCGCGAGGUUUAACUUUCUCCGAUGAGAGAUUUUCUACAAUCUCUCAAACGUCUCUGGAACUGAUUUUCGCCAUUGUCGCUACGGAAUUAGCCGUUACACAUCAAGUUAUGUAGAGGCUAGGUUUUCGGCGUUGAGAUAUGUAACGGUAAAAUGAAGGGUUUUAUACUCUCGGAGACCAAUUUCGGCCGUUGUUUCAGUGUUAAGAGAGAGCGCAGCUUUGCUCCGGUUAAUGGCUGAGAUUAAAAGCUAAGCCUUUGUUUUAAAUUUUAAUGGUGUUGAUUUUUUUUUUUUAACGUUAUAAUAUGGUUUUUUUUUUU
rnacentral:lncRNA from 1 species